UAGGGAAUCUUCCGCAAUGGGCGAAAGCCUGACGGAGCAACGCCGCGUGAGUGAUGAAGGUCUUCGGAUCGUAAAACUCUGUUAUUAGGGAAGAACAAAUGUGUAGUAACUAUGCACGUCUUGACGGUACCUAAUCAGAAAGCCACGGCUAACUACGUGCCAGCAGCCGCGGUAAUACGUAGGUGGCAAGCGUUAUCCGGAAUUAUUGGGCGUAAAGCGCGCGUAGGCGGUUUUUUAAGUCUGAUGUGAAAGCCCACGGCUCAACCGUGGAGGGUCAUUGGAAACUGGAAAACUUGAGUGCAGAAGAGGAAAGUGGAAUUCCAGGUGUAGCGGUGAAAUGCGCAGAGAUAUGGAGGAACACCAGUGGCGAAGGCGACUUUCUGGUCUGUAACUGACGCUGAUGUGCGAAAGCGUGGGGAUCAAACAGG
rnacentral:rRNA from 1 species